rnacentral:rRNA from 1 species
ACCCGCUGAACUUAAGCAUAUCAAUAAGCGGAGGAAAAGAAACCAACAGGGAUUGCCUCAGUAACGGCGAGUGAAGCGGCAACAGCUCAAAUUUGAAAUCUGGAGUCUUCGACUUCCGAGUUGUAAUUUGAAGAGGAUGUUUCGGUUGUGGCCAUGGCCUAAGUUCCUUGGAACAGGACGUCGUAAAGGGUGAGAAUCCCGUACACGGCUGGUGGCUUACUUCCAUGUGAAACUCCUUCGAAGAGUCGAGUUGUUUGGGAAUGCAGCUCAAAAUGGGUGGUAAAUUUCAUCUAAAGCUAAAUAUUGGCGAGAGACCGAUAGCGCACAAGUAGAGUGAUCGAAAGAUGAAAAGCACUUUGAAAAGAGAGUUAAACAGUACGUGAAAUUGUUGAAAGGGAAGCGCUUGCAAUCAGACUCGCUUUCGGUUGAUCAAGGUUCCUUUUGGUUCCUGCACUCUGCCGUUUGCGGGCCAGCAUCAGUUGGAGCGGUGGGAUAAAGGCUUCGGGAAUGUGGCACCCUUCGGGGUGUGUUAUAGCCCGUCGCGUAAUACCGCCUGUUCCGAUUGAGGUCCGCGCUUUUGCUAAGAUGCUGGCUUAAUGGUUGUAAGCGACCCGUCUUGAAACACGG